UGGGGAAUUUUGGACAAUGGGGGCAACCCUGAUCCAGCCAUUCCGCGUGAGUGAAGAAGGCCUUCGGGUUGUAAAGCUCUUUCGGCAGGAACGAAACGGUCCGCUCUAACAUAGCGGGCUACUGACGGUACCUGAAGAAGAAGCACCGGCUAACUACGUGCCAGCAGCCGCGGUAAUACGUAGGGUGCGAGCGUUAAUCGGAAUUACUGGGCGUAAAGCGUGCGCAGGCGGCUUUUUAAGCCAGAUGUGAAAUCCCCGGGCUUAACCUGGGAACUGCAUUUGGAACUGGAAGGCUAGAGUGCGGCAGAGGGGGGUAGAAUUCCACGUGUAGCAGUGAAAUGCGUAGAGAUGUGGAGGAAUACCGAUGGCGAAGGCAGCCCCCUGGGUCGACACUGACGCUCAUGCACGAAAGCGUGGGGAGCAAACAGG
rnacentral:rRNA from 1 species